rnacentral:misc_RNA from 1 species
AAUUCCAGGCAUUAUGGA